CCCUUUAAGAGAGACGGGGGAGGGUCCGCAUCCAUAAAACAUGAGUUGAUUCAGUGGUCGCUGGGAGACGUGGUGAGGAGCGCCUCUGCACUCAGACCCAUCACUGUCGGAGCAUCCCCCGUCCGGCCGCUCGCCUCACACACAUGCUGACACAGCUCCGCCACGCGCCUCAGGACAUGGACCCGCACAGAAGGGAGGGAUAGAACCGGAGCCAGGGAGGACGGGGAGCGAGAAGACGAGGACAAGAAGAAGAAGAGGUUUACAGGGAUAAAGAAGAAGAAGAAGAUAAAAGAGAGGAAGAGACAGUGACCGGGUGCGUCCAGGCGGAGAAUGGGCAAUUCCUCCUUCCCAGGCAUGUCUCCUCUCUCUCCGUCCAUUCUGUAGUUGCAGGUCGAGAGAAGAGAAAGGGUCCCAUGAUCUCUGCCGGUGAUGCUGAGUUCCCUCGGGAUUACCACACCCUCGCCGGUAGCCGCGGGGCCCGGCGGUUCCCAGACAACUCCAAUGGGGGGUUCACGUCGUCCUCGCUGGACCGCCGCCACAACGCCGUGGCCGCCAAGAGCCUGGAGGCCCUGAACAGCAUCCACAAGGCGGACAUCGAGCGGCAGCGGGACGCCCUGGUGGACCUGCAGAAGAACAAGUUCUCCAACAGCCCGGGCAGCAUGUCGCAGGGCUCCCCCUCCGCCGGACGACAGCAACAGCCAAACUACUGGAGCUUCAAGACUCGAACGCCUCGCGUGACGCGCCUCAGCCCGACUCAGCCGGCGCUCGCCGACCAGGCCAACAGGGUUUCCUUCGCCUCAGCUGAGCAUCUGGAAACCAUGUCGGAGCCCGACGUCCCCAUCGGCUUCAACCGCAUGAACCGGCUCCGUCAGAGCCUCCCGCUGGCUCGCUCGUCCAGCCAGGCCAAGCUGCGGGCCCCAGGGAUCUUGUUCCUCCAGCUUGGGGAGGAGACGCGCAGAGUCCAUCUGACCCACGAGCUGACGAGCCUGGAGACUCUGAGGGCGCUCAUCGUGCACAUGUUCCCCCAGAGGCUCACCAUGGCCAUGCUCAGGUCCCCGAGCACGGCGCUGCUGAUCAAGGAUGAGACCCGGAACAUCUUCUACGAGCUGGAGGACCCGCGGGACGUCCAGGACCGCUGCGUCAUCAAGAUCUACUGCAAAGAGCCGGUGUACGGCACCUACCCCGGACACCACAGCCCCCACCUGGCCAACGGAGACCUGCGGAGGGAGAUGGUUUAUGCACCUCAGGAUUCUCCACCUAACCGUCGCCUCAGCAACCAGCCCCUGUCCUCCCAGCAUUCCUCCGCCUCUGCCUCGCCCCCCCAGGGGUCGCCGUCCCGCGCCCGCCUCCUCUACAGUGGCGGCGGCAGACCUUCGUCCUACGCUGGUCCCGCGCACCACACCCACUCCCUGCCGCACCCGCACUCCCAGUCCCACCACUCCUCUCCCCACCAGCAGCAGCAGCAGCAGCAGCAGCAACUCCACCAGUACCCCCAAAACCCCCACCACCCCCAGCAGGCCUUCUGCACCUCCUCCAGCGCCAUCCUGGAGCGCAGGGAUGUGAAGCCUGAUGAUGAAGUGGGCGGGUCCAGGACCAUGGUGCUGCUGCGGGGGGACGAUCGUGGUGGGGGGGGGAUCUACGCGGACCCCUACUCUCUGGGUCCUGAAGCAAGUCGGCUCAGUCUCGCUGGAGGUCCUCACUCCCCCCUCCCGGCCAGAGCCGACCCUUACGGCUCCUUGUACCGCCGCGGGGGAGGCGGCGGCGGCGGUGGGGGAGCCGGAUCAGUGCGUUCUCUCACCUCCUAUUCAGCCGCUGCUCUACAAGGGGAGCUGAUGGAGAGCGGUGUCCUCUACAGGCCGGGGGGGCCCCUCUACAACGACGCCUACGCUGCGUCUGUGUUGGCCAUGGGGCUGCGGGUGCCCCCCCCCUCCUCCCCACAGAAGAUCCCCGACAUGAGGGACUCCUACGCCGGCACCAUGCCCGGCCGCGGCUCCCCCGGCAGGCAGAGCUUGAGACGGGACUCUGUGACCUCCUCUGUGUUCGGGGACAGUCCCAAGGCCCGGGGCCAGGGGCCCUUAGGUCUCACCUCGGAGCAGCUCUGCCUGAUGGCCGGGCCCGGGGGCGAGGGGGGGAACUCCGGGGGCUUCGGCUCGCCGCUGCUGGGGAACGAGACGGAGACCAGGGAGCGUAUGGAGGCCAUGGAGAAGCAGAUAGCCAGUCUGACUGGGCUGCUGCAGAGAGUCCUGAGCAGAGCGCCGGAGGCCGAGAGCCCGGAGAAGAUCGAGUCGGCCAGCGACUGCUCGGGAACUGACACUGGACGAACUAAAAAAAAGAAAGCUCUGACUCCUUCUGCUCCUCUGGCCCUGAUGCCUCCUCCGUCGUCGGGCGCCAACCAGCCUGUGACGGUGUCUCGUCUCCAGAUGCAGCUCCACCUGCAGGGCCUGCAGCAGAACACCAACGCGCUGCGCAAACAGCUGUCGCAGCUGCGCGACAUGCAGCUGGAGAACCAGGACUCGGUCCUGACGCUGCUGAGGCAGACGGAGUCGGAGCUGAGCCUCAUGAUGCUGGACGCCAUGCGCACUCAGGAGGACCCGCUCCAGAGACAGCGCCUCCUGGUGGAGGAGGAGAGACUCAAGUACCUGAACCAGGAGGAGCUGCUCAUCCAGCAGCUGCAUGACCUGGAGAAAUCUGUGGAGGAGCUGCAGAGGAACUCGUCCAUCAACCACGGCCUGGUGACGGAGCAGGACGUGGAGCAGAAGAGCAAAGAGCUGAGGAUUCUGGGAGAGACGCUCAGUGAGCUGAAGAACCAGUUCCCCAGCCUGCAGAGUAAGAUGCGGGUGGUGCUGAGGGUGGAGGUGGAGGCCGUGAAGUUCCUGAAGGAGGAGCCCCACCGUCUGGACGCGCUGCUGAAGCGCUGCAACACCAUGACGGAUGCGCUCAGCUCGCUGCGCAGGUACGAGCCCGACUCCACUCCGACCAGUGUUUUGUAUCCCUCCUAUAUGUUCAGACAUGUCACCGAGGGCGUGUGGAAGAGCGCCGACGACCUCUCCGGCCAAACCAAGCGAUCGGAGGACCUGAGCCGCAGCUCGGACCUGGACAUCCUGAACAGCCCCCCGCUCAGCCUCAGCGACCUCAGCAGCAGCGCUGGCCUGGCCAACUGGAUGCCAGCGUCCGACCCAGACGCCUCGGGCCUGGAGCAGGACGUCCAGCCCGCCAUGAGCUUCAGAAACCGAGUCCUCGAUGAGCUGCCGUGUCGGCGUCCUCCCGACAAGUCCGUGUCAGCUGAAGUCCGACUGGCGGCCGAGCGGGACUGGGAGGAGAAACGUGCCAGCUUGACCCAGUUCAGCGCCCAGGACAUCAAUCGCCUGCUGGAGGAGACGCAGGCCGAGCUGAUGAAGGCCAUCCCCGACCUGGACUUCGCUGCCAAGCACAUCAACAAGCCGGCGGUGCCCCCCAAGCCCCAGAUCACCAUCCCAAUUACAUCCACCACGGCUACUUCAGCUGCAGCCGCUUCCACCGGCGCCACGGCCACCUCCACCACGACACCCGGCGGCGACCAGCAGCCUGGCAAAGUGCAGAUGGCGGCCCAGAAGCUGAACAGUAUGGAGGGGGGCGGUUCUCAUCGAGGGUCCGUCGACCUCAACGUGGCUCGGUACCGAGCAGAGAAACCCUCCAAGUCUCCGCCGCCGCCUCCGCCCCGACGGAGCUUCCCCUCGGCACACGGCCUCACCACCAACCGCACCGGGGAGGUCAUCGUCACCGCCAAGAACCUGAGGAUGGAGGACGAUGGCGACAUCCCCAAAACUCUGGUGAAGCUGAGGCGGACCCCGUCGGACACCCCCCGCCCCGCGUCCACGCCGCCUGUGAUCGCAGCGUCUGGGAUUCAGGACGAGGACGACGAAGAGAGGAUCAUAGCGGAGCUGGAGAUAUUUGAGAGAACGCCUGUAAAAGAUUGUAGUAAACGGCGCAGCAUCGCCGCCGCUCCUCCCCCGACCUCCAGGUCCAGAAAGAACAGCAGCAACUCCCCGGGGCCGACGAAGGGCUUCACCGUGGCAGCCAGACUCAAGCACCUCCAGCAGGGCAGCCUGGAACGGCCCAAGACCCGCAAGCAGAAAGAGGAUUUCCCCAAAGUCCAGGGCCAGCAGCAGGUAUUCCACUUCUAAACCCUCUGACGCCUGCUGAACGUUUUCCUCCUGCGACUCCUGCGACACGAGAGAAACUGUACGAAGACGAUUUGAGGUUACACAAACACCGGCGGGCGGAGCGAUCUGCAGAAACCUUGAUUUUUACCAGUUCUUGAUGUGCGUUCUGACCUUUGAGUUCCUGGAUCUCACCUCGCUUGCUCAGAGAUCAAGUUUUUUGUGGUGUGAGUUUGUCGUUGUCUUGAUUUCCAGAGGAAGGAUUUUGUUGGUGCUUGUGACCGAUGAGACGAGCUUCACUCUCACAGUCAGAUCCAUUCAGAGACGUCCUCCGCCUCCAUUUACUGCGACAUUAUCUCCAACGAUGCCACGGAAAGAUUUAUAUCUCAAGGUCAAAUGCUGAGCUUCAGCUGCAGAAACGCUGCCCGUCAUCAGUUUCCCUUCGCUGCUUUUUUCUCACAUCAUUUUGGCGCCGGUCUUUCUCUCUCUCUCUCUCUCUCUCUGUCUCUCUCUCUCUCUCUCUCUCUCUCUCUCUGCUCUCUCGCUCUCGCUCUCCAGCUUUGCCUCGCUCAUCCUCUGUCUGCCUCUCAGGUCUCAGCUGGACUUUUUACGUGAGGAGUGAGUCCUCGGAUCACUUGGACGUCUAGUUCAGACCUUGGAGGCGUGAGGCUUUGUCAUUCAAAAGAAUUAAUCUGACUCUGUGUGUUAGAGAUCGUCAGAUUAUCAGAGCAGCGAAAAACCUGAAGUCACCACACAUCAAUAGUUCUGGUUGAAAUGAUGUUUUCCUCGUCACACUUUAGAUCUGAUUCAUUUAACACAUUUAACCUCCUAUAAAGUCAUUGUUCAGAUUUUCAUAUUUAACAAAUCCACAUGAUAUCUGUGUCCCAGUUCCACACGAUGCACUGAUUCAGUUUAGUUUCUGUUGUGUGUCCCCGACUGGAAACAGGAAAGAAUUAAUGAUGCUAAAAAAUACGUACAUUUUUCAAUUGAUAAAUAUUUUAUUUCUAUUUUUAUAUUGUCAAAAAAGGUCAAACCUGUAGCGACCUGGUUAUUAUUCACUCACACUUUAGAAUGAACACUGGAUCCUACAUUUCCCAGAAUGCAUCUUGAGUUGUGUUAUAUUGUGUUAGUUUGCUUCAUGUACUAAUGAGAUGAUGAAAUAUUUUCCAAGGACGACUGUUUGAGAAACAGAUCCGUAAAUCUGAGGACGCAUCAGAGGCCAGAACACUGCACAACUUAAUCAUAACGGUCAGCAAAUUGUGAAUAUUUCUGAGACACUUUGAAGAUCUUAGAAACCAAAAAUGUGAUUAUUGGGAAAAAUAAAUAGCUAAUAUCUAUAUUCUCUUUUUGCACAAAAUGGAAAAGUCCACACAGUAUUAAGCUUUAUCAGGAAAACCACAUUUCCACAUAUAUGAGUAUAUGAAACUGGGACACAGCUCAUAUUUUACUCAGCAACAUGUAGAUAUUCAGAUUUAAACUCUUCCAAAGUGUUUUGUACUAAAGGUUCCAGUGACACCCUGGAUGUGCCGUGUUGGAAAUACAGAAAUACACGGUUGAGAGGUUUUGGCGGUGAAAUAUUAAAACUGUGACAUGGAACAAAUUCAAAACGACAAGAGAAAUAAUUCCUCACACAGGCUCUGUGCUGUUUGACAUUCGUGCCGGAGGGAAAUCUGACGGUGUGUGUGUGUGUGUGUGUGUGUGUGUGUGUGUGUGUGUGUGUGUGUGUGUGUGUGUGUGUGUGUGUGUGUGUGUGUGUGUGUGUGUGUGUGUGUGUGUGUGUGUGUGUGUGUGUGUGUGUGUUUAUUCCCCCGGCAGAGCUGAAAUUACACACAGUACACACUUAAUACAUUUAAGGAAUGUAUUCGUAGUCUCAGAAAUAGCAUUAAAAACUAGCACAAAAAUAGAAAAGCGCAGCAAAAGUAUAACCUGAAUCACGUCACAGAUAUAUUGUAUGUAUAUUAAAUGACCAUUUAGUUUUUUUUUCUUUUGAAGAGAUUGAUUUAUCAAAAUGUAAAAAAGAAAAGUGUCAUCUAUGUUUUAUAUAAUCAAGCUUUUUUUGUAUUUUUAUACUUGAAGAGGAUUCAUACACAUGUAACACAUUUAUUCUGUAAAUUAUUAUUUUUCUGCGUUAAAGAUUUAUUUUUUUCUGCGAACCGUGACCACGUCGUGUUGUAGAGAUCACAGAGACCAGUCGGCAGUGGGACGUUACCGUCACAUUUCUAAAAAGCACAUAACCUCCUUCCUCUAAAACCAUCACCUCACUGGUAGGAUCCCAUUUCGUUGCUGUUUCCCUCUAUUAUAACCACUAGUGAACGUGCACUACCCCGACUAUACAGUUUAAACUAUAUCGAUGGUUCCUUGAUGAAUGUGUGGUCGUUUGAAUCAUUUGUGGAUGUUUAAAAUCAUGUAUAUAAACCCAAAUAUUAUAUUACAGAACUGAUUUUAUGUGAGAUUUUUUUAAAACGUUGGAAAAAAGAAAUCCAACCUGGCAUGCAUACUGUAUACAUUCCUGGAAAUCUGCACGCUGGGUCAACAGAGGUCUCAUUAUCUUGUCAAUAAUUCUGUGUAUAACUGUGAGCGUAUGAUAGAGUAAACAAAAAUUGUACAGUAACCUAGAUUUUUGUAUUAUGUUGAAAAUGGGCCUGUAAAGGUCCUUUUACCGUCAGAAUAACGAAGAAGAGAAAAAAAGAAUAUUCUAACUACUGAGAAAGAUAUUUGAAUGAUAUUGUAUAUCGACUAAAUACCGAGAGUGAUGCUUGCUGUGUGGGGUAAGUGUUUGUUUGUGAAUCGUGAAGAAGAAUGAUAAUCUACUACAAAAGUCCGUAAUAUAACUAAAGACCAACUUAACAAGUGCAAAACAUCACGCAACUUUGUGUAUGGAAAGUAAAAGUUGCUGCUUCGUGUGAGAAAAAUCAACCAAAACCAAACGGUUGCUGCUUUUGUACGUUCCUGUUGUGGUUUUGUGACAAUAAAGGUGAUUCCUCUUAUACAUGA